rnacentral:rRNA from 1 species
ACCUCAAACAUACACAAUAAAUAAACAAAACAUUUGAUCAACCUAGUAGAUGCGAUCGAACAGUACCUAAGCACAUUAGUACCGCAAGGGAACCACCCAAGCAUUGAACAGCAAAGAUUAACCCUUGUACCUUUUGCAUCAUGGUCUAGCAAGAAACCAAAGACAAGAAGAAUCAUAGCCUCCACCCCGAAACCAGAUGAGCUACUUUAGAGCAGCCUAUUGGGCACACCCUUCUCUGUAGCAAAAGAGUGGGAAGACUUAAAAGUAGAAGUGAAACGCCUAUCGAAUCUGGAGAUAGCUGGCUACCCCAUAAAAGAAUCUAAGUUCAACCUUAAACUAAAACAAUAAUCACUUAUUAAUUAAGGAUAUUCAAUAGGGGUACAGCCCUAUUGAAACAGGAUACAACCUGAAUUUGAGAGGAAAAUAAAAAUACAUAUUCAGUAGGCCUUAAAGCAGCCACCUAAUAAAAUAUCGUUAAAGAAUUAAAUAAAUAAUCCCAAUAUAAAACAAAAACUCCAAACUAACUAAAGGUAGACCCAUAUUCAUGGGUUCUAUUAUGCUAGAACUAAUAAUAAGAUAACCUCUCUUAAUGCACCUUUCCACUAGACACGGAUAAACCACUAGCUAUUAACAGACCAUAACAGGCACCAACUUAAACAAUACACAUCUAAGAUACAACUGUGAACCCAACACAGGCGCAUUAUAAAGAAAGAUUCACCAUUAUAAAAGGAACUCGGCAAACAAAGAUCCCAACUGUUUAACAAAAACAUAACCUUUAGCCAAACAAAUAUUAAAGGCAACGCCUGCCCAGUGAAUAAUUAAACGGCCGCGGUAUCCUAACCGUGCAAAGGUAGCAUAAUCAUUUGUCUACUAAUUAUAGACCUGUAUGAAAGACAAAAUGAGGGUCUAACUGUCUCUUAUAAUUAAUCAAUUAAACUGAUCUCCUAGUAAAAAAGCUAGAAUUCCCACAUAAGACCAGAAGACCCUGUGAAGCUUGAACUAAACUAUUAAAUCAUAUAAUAACUACUUUCGGUUGGGGCGACCUUGGAAAAAAAAAGAACUUCCAAAUAUAGUGAUAAUACCUCACACCUCUUUAACCUAGGCCAACAAGCCAAAAUCAGAUCCAGCAUAGCUGAUAAUUGAACUAAGUUACUCCAGGGAUAACAGCGCAAUCUUCUUCAAGAGCCCAUAUCAAAAAGAAGGUUUACGACCUCGAUGUUGGAUCAGGACAUCCUAAUGGUGCAGCCGCUAUUAAGGGUUCGUUUGUUCAACGAUUAAUAGUCCUACGUGAUCU